GGAAUAAAAAGCAAUCCUCUCCUGACGUCUGGGUGAUUGCAUUUCAGCAAAUCAUAUGUCAACUGACAAGCUCUUCUUGGAUCCACAGCAUAGCUUUGCCUUCAUAAUAAGACCCAGAGCUGUUUCAUGGGCUAAGCCGACACCAUCAGCCUGCGAAGCUGUAAUACCGAAGGACAGACUCAAUGCUGAAAUUUCCCAGUGAUGGAAAGCUAAUCUACACAACCCCAGGCUGAAUGGAACUCACCGAUUUCGGUUCACCUCCAUAAGAAAAAGGGGUCAAAAGCGGGCCACCGA